UCCUACGGGAGGCAGCAGUGAGGAAUAUUGGGCAAUGGAGGCAACUCUGACCCAGCCAUGCCGCGUGCAGGAAGACUGCCCUAUGGGUUGUAAACUGCUUUUAUACAGGAAGAAACACUGCUACGUGUAGCAGCUUGACGGUACUGUAAGAAUAAGGACCGGCUAACUCCGUGCCAGCAGCCGCGGUAAUACGGAGGGUCCGAGCGUUAUCCGGAAUCAUUGGGUUUAAAGGGUCCGCAGGCGGUCAAUUAAGUCAGAGGUGAAAUCCCAUAGCUUAACUAUGGAACUGCCUUUGAUACUGGUUGACUUGAGUCAUAUGGAAGUAGAUAGAAUGUGUAGUGUAGCGGUGAAAUGCAUAGAUAUUACACAGAAUACCGAUUGCGAAGGCAGUCUACUACGUAUGUACUGACGCUGAGGGACGAAAGCGUGGGGAGCGAACAGGAUUAGAUACCCUGGUAGUCCACGCCGUAAACGAUGGAUACUAGUUGUUGGGCAUUAGCUCAGUGACUAAGCGAAAGUGAUAAGUAUCCCACCUGGGGAGUACGGUCGCAAGACUGAAACUCAAAUGAAUUGACGG
rnacentral:rRNA from 1 species